rnacentral:rRNA from 1 species
UACGUAGGGGGCGAGCGUUGUCCGGAUUUAUUGGGCGUAAAGAGCUCGUAGGCGGCUUAGCAAGUCGGGUGUGAAAACUCCAGGCUCAACCUGGAGACGCCACUCGAGACUGCUAUGGCUAGAGUCCGGUAGGGGACCACGGAAUUCCUGGUGUAGCGGUGAAAUGCGCAGAUAUCAGGAGGAACACCGGUGGCGAAGGCGGUGGUCUGGGCCGGCACUAACGCUGAGGAGCGAAAGCGUGGGGAGCAAACAGG